rnacentral:rRNA from 1 species
UACGGAGGGUGCAAGCGUUGUCCGGAAUCACUGGGCGUAAAGGGCGCGUAGGCGGCUCAUGAAGGCUGUGGUGAAAGUCCGGGGGCUCAACCUCGGAUCGGCCGUGGCGACUCGUGGGCUGGAGCACUGUAGAGGCGGGUGGAAUUCCGGGUGUAGCGGUGGAAUGCGUAGAGAUCCGGAAGAACACCAGUGGCGAAGGCGGCCCGCUGGGCAGUGGCUGACGCUGAGGCG